GAUGAAGAACGCAGCGAAAUGCGAUAAGUAAUGUGAAUUGCAGAAUUCAGUGAAUCAUCGAAUCUUUGAACGCACAUUGCGCCCCUUGGUAUUCCGAGGAGCAUGCCUGUUCGAGCGUCAUUAUAACCCCUCAAGCUCAGCUUGGUGUUGGGGCCUGCUGCACUGGCAGCCCUUAAAAUCAGUGGCGGCGCCAUCUGGCUCUAAGCGUAGUAAUUCUUCUCGCUAUGGAGUCCUGGUGGAUGCUUGCCAUCAACCCCCAAUUUUUCUAUGGUUGACCUCGGAUCAGGUAGGGAUACCCGCUGAACUUAAGCAUAUCAAUAAGCGGAGGA
rnacentral:misc_RNA from 1 species